CCUACGGGCGGCAGCAGUGGGGAAUAUUGCACAAUGGGCGCAAGCCUGAUGCAGCCAUGCCGCGUGUGUGAAGAAGGCCUUCGGGUUGUAAAGCACUUUCAGCGGGGAGGAAGGCGUUAAGGUUAAUAACCUUGUCGAUUGACGUUACCCGCAGAAGAAGCACCGGCUAACUCCGUGCCAGCAGCCGCGGUAAUACGGAGGGUGCAAGCGUUAAUCGGAAUUACUGGGCGUAAAGCGCACGCAGGCGGUCUGUCAAGUCGGAUGUGAAAUCCCCGGGCUCAACCUGGGAACUGCAUUCGAAACUGGCAGGCUAGAGUCUUGUAGAGGGGGGUCGAAUUCCAGGUGUAGCGGUGAAAUGCGUAGAGAUCUGGAGGAAUACCGGUGGCGAAGGCGGCCCCCUGGACAAAGACUGACGCUCAGGUGCGAAAGCGUGGGGAGCAAACAGGAUUAGAUACCCCUGUAGUC
rnacentral:rRNA from 1 species